CUUCCAUCAUCCCAGUAAAUCACAAGAAUCCAAGUGAAAUAGUGGAACCAAAUUUGACAUUGUGUGUGGAUACUUGUAUAAUGAGAUAAAAUUCAUUCACCCAGACGUCAUAUAAGGUACAAGAUUAUUAUUUCAAAAAACAAAUCAAAACAACAAAACACAUUGUGUGUGGAUACUUGUAUAAUGGGAUAAAAUUCAUUCACCCAGACGUCAUAUAAGGUACAAGAUUAUUAUUUCAAAAAACAAAUCAAAACAACAAAACAAACGCUGAAUACACUAAGCUAAAUUGUAAGAAUUAGUGUAUGAAAAGUCUUGGGCGUGUGAGUUAUCAACAUCUUAGAACAUAAUACACAUAUACACAAGAUCAAGAAUAAAACCAUCAUCAAAAUAUAUCAUUCACUGCUACUUUUCCAUACUUC
rnacentral:lncRNA from 1 species